GACGAACGCUGGCGGCGUGCUUAACACAUGCAAGUCGAGCGGAAAGGCCCUUCGUGGUACUCGAGCGGCAAUCGCGUACGUAUGACGUGCAUAACAUGCACCAGCCCUUGGCAUAACCAUCGGUACAGGGGGCUAAUACUGGAACCGGCUAAGAGUCGCUUCGGCUCGGUGUGGGUUGUUAUUUGUCGGCGGUUGGGGAUGGGCUCUCGGCUUAUCAGCGUGUUGGUGGGGUAGUGGCCUACCAAGGCGGGGACGGGUAGCCGGCCUGAGAGGGUGACCGGCCACAUUGGGACUGAGAUACGGCCCAGACUCCUACGGGAGGCAGCAGUGGGGAAUAUUGCACAAUGGGCGGAAGCCUGAUGCAGCAACGCCGCGUGAGGGAUGACGGCCUUCGGGUUGUAAACCGCUUUCGCCUGUGACGAAGCGUGAGUGACGGUACUGGGAAAAGAAGCACCGGCUAACUACGUG
rnacentral:rRNA from 1 species